rnacentral:lncRNA from 1 species
AAACACAUAACAUAAACAUAGCUCAAAACAUAAACAGAGCUCAUGCUAGAACAUAAGCAUAAAACAGAGGUAGAUCACUUCACAUGGAUGAAAAACACAUAACAUAAACAUAGCUCAAAAAAUAAACAGAGCUCAUGGUACAUAAGCAUAAAACAGAGGUAGAACACUUCACAUGGAUGAAAAACACAUAACAUAAUAGCUGAAAACAUAAGCAUAAAACAGAGGUAGAACACCUCACAUGGAUGAAAAAAAACAUAACAUAACAAUAAACAUAAAACAGAGGUAGAACCUUAGAACAUAAACACAUAACAAUUAACAGAGGGACUUACAAUAUGAAAAACAGAGGAGGAGGAGCGGCGCAGGGGGGUCGGAGAGAGACGAAUGGAGGUGGGGUGCCGGCGGAGAGAGAGAGACGAAUGGAGGAAGGGAGACCGUGGGAGUAGUAGGGGAGAUGAAAGUUAGGGCAGUGUCAAACAGAGAGAGAGAGAGGAGAUGAGCGUGUAAAGAAGAACGUUAGGGCACGCACAGUCUGAAGAACGAAAAAGAAAAAUAGAGGAAAAAUAGUGUUUUAACUUUUAACCUUCUAAAAAAUAAGGGCAAAAUAGUAAUUUUGCAUAAAAAAAUAUAUACAAAUAUUUGUGGGUAACCCGCUCCGCCCAGGGUGCGCAACCCGCGACCCGGGAUCUCGCCGAAAUCAGCCGCCAUUUUUGACUGCGAAUCGCUCCUCUCUUCUCACGCGGUGGGGGCCGCUCCAGCCGGACCGCCCGGGAUCGCGCCGUGAUCGGCCGCAAUCGAUAACUGAGUAUUAGUAUACCUAUUGGUCAAGGUCAAUAAUGUUUAGUCUUUUGUAUAAAAUCAAACCGUAAUCACAACUUAAAGAUUUCUUUAUCUUCCCUCCCUCCUCAUCUAUAGCUUUAUAAUUUAAAACUAUAUGCAUCUAUGUCAUUCCUUUUCUAUAAAAGUUUAUUCAAUUAUGAAAACACGGGCCAGUGGAUCAAAUAUACAAACAAAAUUUAUAUUUCUUUCAUCAUAAGUUAGUCUGACUUUUUUUAUCUAUUGCUUAUAUGCAUAAAUUACUUGAAUGAUCUACUGCAG